CUUGGUAGUUCGCACCACCCGCUCGGCUGCACCGUUUGAAGCAGGGUGGUACGGCGGAACCAUCAUCCGGCGGAUUUCGUUCUUCGUCAGCCAGGCCAGG
rnacentral:lncRNA from 1 species